CCUACGGGAGGCAGCAGUAGGGAAUCUUCCACAAUGGGCGAAAGCCUGAUGGAGCAACGCCGCGUGGGUGAAGAAGGUCUUCGGAUCGUAAAACCCUGUUGUUAGAGAAGAAAGUGCGUGAGAGUAACUGUUCACGUUUCGACGGUAUCUAACCAGAAAGCCACGGCUAACUACGUGCCAGCAGCCGCGGUAAUACGUAGGUGGCAAGCGUUAUCCGGAUUUAUUGGGCGUAAAGGUAACGCAGGCGGUCUUUUAAGUCUGAUGUGAAAGCCUUCGGCUUAACCGGAGUAGUGCAUUGGAAACUGGGAGACGUGAGUGCAGAAGAGGAGAGUGGAACUCCAUGGGUAGCGGUGAAAUGCGUAGAUAGAUGGAAGAACACCAGUGGCGAAAGCGGCUCUCUGGUCUGUAACUGACGCUGAGGUUCGAAAGCGUGGGUAGCAAACAGGAUUAGAUACCCUGGUAGUC
rnacentral:rRNA from 1 species